GUGGGAAAUUGCCCAGUAGUGGGGGACAACAUUCGGAAACGGAUGCUAAUACCGCAUACGCCCUACGGGGGAAAGCAGGGGAUCUUCGGACCUUGUGCUACUGGAUAUGCCCGCGUCGGAUUAGCUAGUUGGUGAGGUAAUGGCUCACCAAGGCGACGAUCCGUAGCUGGUCUGAGAGGAUGAUCAGCCACACUGGGACUGAGACACGGCCCAGACUCCUACGGGAGGCAGCAGUGGGGAAUAUUGGACAAUGGGCGCAAGCCUGAUCCAGCCAUGCCGCGUGUGUGAAGAAGGCCCUAGGGUUGUAAAGCACUUUCAGCAGGGAGGAAGGCCUUAAAGCUAAUACCUUUGAGGAUUGACGUUACCUGCAGAAGAAGCACCGGCUAAACUCCCGUGCCAGCAGCCCGCGGUAAUACGGAGGGUGCAAGCGUUAAAUCGGAAUUUACUGGGGCGUAAAGCGCGCGUA
rnacentral:rRNA from 1 species